UGCCUGGUAGUCCAGCAGUUAAGACUUUGUGCUGCCAGCACAGGGGGCCCGGGUUUGAUUCCUGGCCAGGGAA
rnacentral:tRNA from 1 species